AGGAGAGCCGGCGGCGGCGGGAGGGGGCGGCGGCCGGCGCCUGGCGCCUCACGAACUCGGUCCCGCCGCUGCUCUGCGCCCUGGGGCGAUGCCUGUCCCGUGCUCUUCCAGCCGCCAUGGGGGUCACCUCACAGCAAGGUCAAAGGCACGGUGGGGACUCCCACACCUGGGUGAGGGGACAGGACAGUCCCACAGCCCAAUCUGAUACCCCAAAUCUGCCUCAAUUCCCGCCGUGGAGCAGCCGCGGGCCCUUCCCCCCUUCCCGUGAGUCACACGGGGGGGUGAGGGGGGGGAGCAGGAAGCGCCGGAGCCACCACAUUGCCCUUAUAAGGCCUCGACUCGACGGCACCGGGAGCUGCUUCCGCCUGCCCAGGUCCUGCUGCACAUCUCCUGCUGUACCCCACAGAGCCUUCCCACACCCCCAUCUCUGCCCCACCCUGCCUUCCUCACCCCACACCAGCCCGCCCAUCUCCCCCUGCCCCCCCCAUCCCCCACACCAACCCAUCCCAGCACCUCCCCAACCCCCACCUCUGGCCCCCACCACCCCCUGAACACCUGGGGGGGGGCCCCUGUCCCACAACCUGCCAGGAUACCUAGGGUUCCUCCCCCCCAGUUCCCCACAGCCCCUCUGUUCCCCCCCAAUAUGUCCCCACCCCCCUUGUUCCAUCCUACAACCCCCAUCUGACCUCCCCCCACUGCCAGCGCAGCCUGCCCCACAAGUGCAGCCCUCCAAUAAAGCCUGUGUCCCCCAAUAAAGCCUCUGCUCCCCAA